rnacentral:tRNA from 6 species
GGGGGCUUAGCUCAGUUGGUUAGAGCGCAUCCUUGACAUGGAUGAGGUCGCAGAUUCGAAUUCUGUAGCUCCCACCA